rnacentral:rRNA from 1 species
UCAAGGUGAGAGAUACGGAGGUAGAGCACUGAAUGUCCUAGGGGGUAUUGCACCUACCGAAGACUAUCAAACUCCGAAUGCCGUCAUCUUAUACUUGGGAGUCAGACUGUGGGUGAUAAGAUUCAUAGUCGAAAGGGCAACAGCCCAGAUCGUCAGCUAAGGUCCCUAAAUGUAAGUUAAGUGGUAAAGGAUGUGGGAUUGCACAGACAACCAGGAUGUUGGCUUAGAAGCAGCCACUCAUUCAAAGAGUGCGUAAUAGCUCACUGGUCGAGUGAUCCUGCGCCGAAGAUUUCCGGGGCUAAAACUUACUACCGAAGCUACGGCAUCAGUAAUGAUGGGUAGGGGAGCUUCCCAUACGGGUUGAAGCAUGACCGUAAGGACAUGUGGACAGUAUGGGAGUGAGAAUGUUGGCAUGAGUAGCGAGAUGUGGGUGAGAAUCCCACAGGCCGUAAACCCAAGGUUUCCAGGGGAAGGUUCGUCCGCCCUGGGUUAGUCGGGACCUAAGCUGAGGCCGAAAGGCGUAGGUGAUGGACAACAGGUUGAUAUUCCUGUACUACCGAUAACCGUUUGAGAGAAGGGAUGACACAGUAGGAUAAGCUAAGCACACUGUUGGUUAUGUGUGCCCAAGCAUUGAGGCAGUCAAAGUAGGCAAAUCCGCUUUGAUAAUGCUGGGAUGUGAUGGGGAGCGAAAUUUAGUAGCGAAGUAGCUGAUUUCACACUGUCAAGAAAAGUCUCUAUCGAGGUUAAAGGUACCCGUACCGCAAACCGACACAGGUGGGUGAGGAGAGUAUCCUAAGGCCAGCGAGAGAACUGUUGUUAAGGAACUCGGCAAAAUGACCCCGUAACUUAGGGAUAAGGGGUGCCACCAUCAGGUGGCCGCAGAGAAUAGGCCCAAGCGACUGUUUACCAAAAACAUAGGUUUCUGCUAAGUCGCAAGACGAUGUAUAGGAGCUGACGCCUGCCCGGUGCUGGAAGGUUAAGGGGAUCUGUUAGAGCAAUCGAAGCAGUGAACUUAAGCCCCAGUAAACGGCGGCCGUAACUAUAACGGUCCUAAGGUAGCGAAAUUCCUUGUCGGGUAAGUUCCGACCCGCACGAAAGGCGUAACGAUUUGGGCACUGUCUCAACAACAGACUCGGUGAAAUUGUAAUUCCGGUGAAGAUGCCGGAUACCUGCGACAGGACGGAAAGACCCCAUGGAGCUUUACUGUAGCUUGACAUUGGGUCUUGGUACUACAUGUACAGGAUAGGUGGGAGGCUUUGAAACCAGGACGCCAGUUUUGGCGGAGCCAUCCUUGGGAUACCACCCUUGUAGUACUGGGACUCUAACCAUAGGCCAUGAAUCUGGUCUUGGGACACUGUCAGGUGGGCAGUUUGACUGGGGCGGUCGCCUCCCAAAAGGUAACGGAGGCGCUCAAAGGUUCUCUCAGUACGGUCGGAAAUCGUACGUAGAGUGUAAAGGCAAAAGAGAGCUUGAUUGCAAGACAUACAGGUCGAGCAAGGAUGAAAAUCGGACUUAGUGAUCCGGUGGUUCUGCGUGGAAGGGCCAUCGCUCAACGGAUAAAAGCUACCCUGGGGAUAACAGGCUUAUCUCCCCCAAGAGUCCACAUCGACGGGGAGGUUUGGCACCUCGAUGUCGGCUCAUCACAUCCUGGGGCUGUAGUAGGUCCCAAGGGUUGGGCUGUUCGCCCAUUAAAGUGGUACGCGAGCUGGGUUCAGAACGUCGUGAGACAGUUCGGUCCCUAUCCGUCGCAGGCGUAGGAAAUUUGAGAAGACCUGUCCUUAGUACGAGAGGACCGGGAUGGACGUACCUCUGGUGUACCAGUUGUCCUGCCAAGGGCAUGGCUGGGUAGCUAUGUACGGAAUGGAUAAGCGCUGAAAGCAUCUAAGCGCGAAGCCAACUUCAAGAUAAGAUUUCCCACCGCAAGGGUAAGACCCCAGAAAGACUAUCUGGUUGA